rnacentral:rRNA from 1 species
UACGUAGGGUGCGAGCGUUAAUCGGAAUUACUGGGCGUAAAGCGUGCGCAGGCGGCUUGUGAUGUCUGGUGUGAAAGCCCCGGGCUCAACCUGGGAAUUGCAUUGGAAACUAGCGGGCUGGAGUGUGGCAGAGGGGGGUGGAAUUCCACGUGUAGCAGUGAAAUGCGUAGAGAUGUGGAGGAACACCGAUGGCGAAGGCAGCCCCCUGGGCUAACACUGACGCUCAUGCACGAAAGCGUGGGGAGCAAACAGG